rnacentral:lncRNA from 1 species
CGGGAAAUCAAGUGUGCGUGGCUCACGGGGACCUAAAGUUGACAAAGUGCAACUGGUAAAUGAAUAUGUUGUCCUAAUUGAUGCAGUGCUAGAUUGCUGCCAUUUUUCUCUCAGUUGAAGAAGUGUGCAUAAAUCCUUUCCUUUCAACCCUCAGACUGCUGCUGUUAUCUUUUUUGACAGUCACGGGAUCAAAUUUAAUACUUCAAACCCAUAACUGUAAUGCAUGACUGCUGCAAUUUAUUUUGUUUCUUGAAAUUGUCUACAUUUACCUCUUCUUUUAUCAUUCAGACUUCUGGGGAAUUUUGUUGUAAAUGUCAAUUCAAAAAUUACCAUCUUAGUCAUUCUAGUGUUUCAAGCAUCACAGUUUAAAGGCUAAACUAAGCAAUCUCCUGUCAUGGAUCUUAAGACAAUAUGAGUAAUACAUUAUUUUGCUAAUUGAUAACAUACUAUUUUAUGAAAAAUUUCAGCAUUUCAGCUAUUAUAUUAUGGGAAUGAAACUGAGAAGUUAUAUAAUAUGUGUGUGUCUAAGUAUUUGUAUGUUCUCCUCAUUAUUAUUUUCUUGCAGGUUGACCACAGACGGGCAUACAAUUGUGAAAUCAUGCUUUCAAAGGUGAAAGUGCCACUACAUGAAUUAAUGGUAAGCUAUAAUUAAUGUUCAGAGCAAAGCCUCCAAGUUUAGAUGAAUACAGAAGCCAACUUCACUGUCCCUUUAUCUACCUGUAUAAGCGCGGCAGCACAAAUACUUUGUCAUAUCUAGGAUAAUAUUUGGGAAUCAUGUCCUUCUCUGAAGUUGUGUUUGGCAUACUCCAAGACCAUGAAUGCAGUUUAGGUGUUUCGGGGAAAGCAUUGCAAUUAAUGCUUUGGGACACCACCACAGUUGGCUUUUGUGGACCAAGACCACAAUACCAAACAUAUCCUAACUACUGUAGCUACAGUUUUUUUGUUUUCUCUUGCAGCCAUAAGAACACCUUACAGGUAAUAUAUAG